UAAGGAAUAUUGGUCAAUGGACGCAAGUCUGAACCAGCCAUGCCGCGUGAAGGAUGAAGGUCCUCUGGAUUGUAAACUUCUUUUAUAUGGGACGAAACCCCCCGAUUCCUCGGGGAUUGACGGUACCAUAGGAAUAAGCACCGGCUAACUCCGUGCCAGCAGCCGCGGUAAUACGGAGGGUGCAAGCGUUAUCCGGAUUCACUGGGUUUAAAGGCUGCGUAGGAGGGCAGGUAAGUCAGUGGUGAAAUCUCCGAGCUUAACUUGGAAACUGCCGUUGAUACUAUCUGUCUUGAAUAUUGUGGAGGUGAGCGGAAUAUGUCAUGUAGCGGUGAAAUGCUUAGAUAUGACAUAGAACACCAAUUGCGAAGGCAGCUCGCUACACAUAUAUUGACUCUGAGGCACGAAAGCGUGGGGAUCAAA
rnacentral:rRNA from 1 species